GACGAACGCUGGCGGCGUGCCUAAUACAUGCAAGUCGAACGAGAGCGCCCGGUGCUUGCCCUGGUCAAUCUAGUGGCGAACGGGUGAGUAACACGUGGGUAACCUGCCCAUCAGAGGGGGAUAACAUCCGGAAACGGAUGCUAAAACCGCAUAGGUCUUCGAACCGCAUGGUUUGAAGAGGAAAAGAGGCGCAAGCUUCUGCUGAUGGAUGGACCCGCGGUGCAUUAGCUAGUUGGUGAGGUAACGGCUCACCAAGGCCGUGAUGCAUAGCCGACCUGAGAGGGUGAUCGGCCACAUUGGGACUGAGACACGGCCCAAACUCCUACGGGAGGCAGCAGUAGGGAAUCUUCCGCAAUGGACGCAAGUCUGACGGAGCAACGCCGCGUGAGUGAAGAAGGUGUUCGGAUCGUAAAACUCUGUUGUUAGAGAAGAACAAGUGCUAGAGUAACUGUUAGCGCCUUGACGGUAUCUAACCAGAAAGCCACGGCUAACUACGUG
rnacentral:rRNA from 1 species